UACGUAGGGUGCGAGCGUUGUCCGGAAUUAUUGGGCGUAAAGAGCUUGUAGGCGGCUCGGCACGUCCGUUGUGAAAUCGCCCGGCUCAACUGGGCGGGGUCAGCGGAUACGGUCGAGCUUGAGCAAGCUAGGGGGUAAUGGAAUUCCCGGUGUAGUGGUGGAAUGCGUAGAUAUCGGGAGGAACACCAGUGGCGAAGGCGGUUACCUGGGGCUUUGCUGACGCUGAUGCGCGAAAGCCAGGGGAGCGAACGGG
rnacentral:rRNA from 1 species